AGAGUUUGAUCCUGGCUCAGAUUGAACGCUGGCGGCAUGCCUUACACAUGCAAGUCGAACGGCAGCACGGAGCUUGCUCUGGUGGCGAGUGGCGAACGGGUGAGUAAUAUAUCGGAACGUACCCUAGAGUGGGGGAUAACGUAGCGAAAGUUACGCUAAUACCGCAUACGAUCUAAGGAUGAAAGUGGGGGAUCGCAAGACCUCAUGCUCGUGGAGCGGCCGAUAUCUGAUUAGCUAGUUGGUAGGGUAAAAGCCUACCAAGGCAUCGAUCAGUAGCUGGUCUGAGAGGACGACCAGCCACACUGGAACUGAGACACGGUCCAGACUCCUACGGGAGGCAGCAGUGGGGAAUUUUGGACAAUGGGCGAAAGCCUGAUCCAGCAAUGCCGCGUGAGUGAAGAAGGCCUUCGGGUUGUAAAGCUCUUUUGUCAGGGAAGAAACGGUGAGAGCUAAUAUCUUUUGCUAAUGACGGUACCUGAANAAUAAGCACCGGCUAACUACGUGCCAGCAGCCGCGGUAAUACUAGGGUGCAAGCGUUAAUCGGAAUUACUGGGCGUAAGCGU
rnacentral:rRNA from 1 species